UACGUAGGGUGCGAGCGUUAAUCGGAAUUACUGGGCGUAAAGCGUGCGCAGGCGGUUUGGUAAGACAGAUGUGAAAUUCCCGGGCUUAACCUGGGAACUGCAUUUGUGACUGCCAGGCUAGAGUGCGGCAGAGGGGAGUGGAAUUCCGCGUGUAGCAGUGAAAUGCGUAGAUAUGCGGAUGAACACCGCUGGCGAAGGUAAAUCCCUGGGUCUGCACUGACGUUCAUGUCUGUAAGCGUGGGGAGCAAACAGG
rnacentral:rRNA from 1 species